rnacentral:tRNA from 1 species
AAGGGUAUAGCUCAGUGGUAGAGUGCUUGCUUAGCAUGCACGAGAUCCUGGGUUCGAUCCCCAGUACCUCCU